CGGAGGCUAAUAAGUAUGUGCGACACACAGUCAGUGACUGUAUCUGUCAUUGGAUUGGCUGAUGCUGGCACAGGUACCCGCUAAGCUUGAGUGGUCACAUGAUCGGCGAACAGCAGCAGCCGUCAGACACGGAUCACUUCCUGUUGAUGGCAAACAUCUCAGUGCACAGGCCAGAGAUCAGACGUGUGUCACACUUCACUUUUGACCUCUGUCAUCAUCAAAGAGAAACAAACUCAACUCUUCAGAACAUCUCCACUUGUUUUCUGUCAUAAAUAUAAACUCCGUAGAAUGAUCUGGAAGAACAGACAAUAAACUCCAGAGCACCUCAGUCCACUCAUAUCUGGGGUUUCACUUUUGUCAUGACAGGACUUGACGUACCUUACAACCAGCUCAACAUGGCACUUCAGGGUCUUGAUGUGUAACUGCUUUGGUUCCCGGGCCGUUCUUACCUUGACUAUCUGUGCGCUCGAGAGAGUUUGCUUUAUACUGUCCAGUCAUCAGAACAAGAGACGACGCUGAAAAAUAUCAUCUCAUAAAUCAAGGCAGUAAGCUCUUUUUUACAGAGUCCUUCCUCUUGAUGAAGUAAUCUAAACACAAACACACACCCACACCAGCAUUAUAAAUCAUUUCUUUACUGUUUGUCAGCUAAACUCUGAGGAUAAACUUUGAAGUUUAGUCUAAAGAUUAUUGAAGUUUACUUCAGAUGUGUUGAGAAAUACAUCUGCAGCAAAGAUAUUUUUCAUCUGAAAUAAAUCAGAAAAUUCCUGUCACUGUGGUUCAUUGAGCAUUUAGUGAUUUUGAAUCUGGUUACUAACUGGAGAUCCAGCGAAGUGCUUGUAAAUGCGGUUGGUUUGAGUUAAGGGGCCGAUGGUUGCAGAGUUAAAGUCAUGACUCUUUGUACUGGAGAUCCCUCAGGGGUCCGACCGCCGACCGAGAGAUUCAAUCUCUCUUUACGCUUAAUCGAUAUUCAGGCCCAGAUGGGAUGCGAGAGGAGAGGGAUGGACGGUGGUGGAGGAUCUCAGGAUGAAGGAUGAGUUCGGUCUUCCCGGCGUCUCCGAGGGCUCGUCUGUGCUUCGGUGCUGACUGUGUUUUUCAGAUGAUACAGACGGAGCGAGCGAGAGAGGAGAUAAUAGAGUCCAGAGGAUAAAAGUAGCUGUGUUAGACCGCUAGAGAAGUAAGAAGAGACGUGCAGACUUCAGCCAAAGCUUCGGCUUCUUCUCCUCUCUCUGUAAGAUGUUGCUGUUGUUGUUUUUGUCUGUGCACCAGCGCUGUCAUUAUUUAUCCAUCUGACGGUUUCCUUGCGGAAGCUCCCAAAGGAAUUUUCAGCUUGAGCAGUUUUGGGUGGAAUGGUCUCUCACUGCAGACCGCUUCACUGGUUUUAAAUCUCUCUCUCUCAACACUUAUGAGGAAGCCUUGGGUCAGAAUCACAUUCUGGAGUGACGCAGACGUUUGUCGGACGUGUUGCAAGCGUGUGGUCCUGUGUUGUGUUGUGUGUCUGUAUCUCAGUGCCACUAACAAACCUCAAGACUCAAGUUUCCAUUUAGGGAUCCACCGAAAGGAAAAUUCUUGGCCGAAGUUGAAUAAAAUUAAAAACUCUGAUGAAUACCAAACAAUCAAAAAAUAAUAAUUCACCAUAGCACAAGUUACAUUUUUAGAAUGUCCUUUUUGAUAUAUUUAUUUUACAUUAUACAUUUUUACAUUUCAGCAGUCAUUAUAAGGCCUUUAUACACCUGGUCACUUCUCUGAUCAGAUAGCUGUAGAUCGACUUAUGUGGACAUUCGAACACUUAAAUGAGUCUUGGCUAAACGGAUAUUAAUCCAUCUUCUGUUCCCGCAUAAAAUGCAAAUAACCUUUUCAUUACUCUGCCUUAAGAAACUUACAACAACACUUAUGCAGCACUGUAUGUUGAGCAGCGGACACGCGGUCAAGCACGAGCAAAGAAGAAGAGAGAGAGACAUGGUGGCAAGAUUAAAAGGAGAUGACAGAAAAGGUUUCUUACAAAAUUGUUAAUAAAUGGUUUAUAUCUGGUUUAAUAUAAGCGUGUUUGUCAUUGUAGCACUUUACUGGUUCUAGGAAGUUUUUAUUACAUACUGCUGACGCUCUUCAUCGUUCUAUGACAUGAGAUGAAGAGCUAAAGUCUCUC